rnacentral:rRNA from 1 species
GAUGAACGCUAGCGGGAGGCCUAACACAUGCAAGCCGAGCGGUAUUUGUUCUUCGGAACAGAGAGAGCGGCGCACGGGUGCGGAACACGUGUGCAACCUGCCUUUAUCUGGGGGAUAGCCUUUCGAAAGGAAGAUUAAUACCCCAUAAUAUAUUGAGUGGCAUCAUUUGAUAUUGAAAACUCCGGUGGAUAGAGAUGGGCACGCGCAAGAUUAGAUAGUUGGUGAGGUAACGGCUCACCAAGUCAAUGAUCUUUAGGGGGCCUGAGAGGGUGAUCCCCCACACUGGUACUGAGACACGGACCAGACUCCUACGGGAGGCAGCAGUGAGGAAUAUUGGACAAUGGGUUAGCGCCUGAUCCAGCCAUCCCGCGUGAAGGACGACGGCCCUAUGGGUUGUAAACUUCUUCUGUAUAGGGAUAAACCUACUCUCGUGAGAGUAGCUGAAGGUACUAUACGAAUAAGCACCGGCUAACUCCGUG